rnacentral:sRNA from 1 species
UCUUGUAGUGUCAACAGAUGGCGUGGAU